ensembl:lncRNA
GCCAGGUGAUGCAGUACUGGCUCCAGCAGCUGCAGCAGAAGCGUUGGGAGUUCAGUAACACCAGAGGGUCUGGACAGAGGGACAGCUGGAGUUCUCCUACCCCUCACACUGGCCUGGUGGCCAAAGAUACAGAUGUCUUUGUGUUUGAGAAGCCCAGUCACAGUGACAGCAUGGAGAGGGUACGCAGCGACUUUGCUAUGGAAACAGACACGGACGGACUGGUGGGUGUCCAAUCAGUACGAGGCCCCUCCCACCACCCCCCCAAUCCCCUCAACUUCUCCAGCAAGCUGGGCCACUGGAGCUCAGAGAUCAGGAACUCCAUGUCAGGUCUGCGUGUGGGUCGAGGAGGAGGAGAACAGACGCUCUGUCUUCUACACUGGGAGCAGUGGUGAUGAGUGGGAGAUGUUAGACGCUCCCUCAACCAAGGACAUCAACCAGGACCACAAACCUCCCACCCAGCCUCAGACUGACUCACACAGACACUCCAUUGGUUCUCCAUUCACAUUUGACUUCGGGCGGAGCAGCAGUUCCUCGUUGCGGCCCAAGCGGCCCACUCUGCGGGACAUAAUGGGUUCAGGGAGGUUAGGACGCAGCACAGAGAGCUCUUCCCCCUCUUCUCAGACCACACCCCCAGUGGAGUGUAACGGCAGCAGGACCAAUGAGCUGCAGCUCCGCCUCCAGAGCCAGGAACAGGAACUGACACGCCUCCACGAGGAGAACAACAACCUGACUGAGGAGUUAACCUCCCAGAAG